UUUAAUAAACUAUUUUGGUAACUUAAGAUAAUUUUACAAUUUUAAAAUAAAAGUUUUAAUGAGUUUAAAAAAAAAAGUAUUUUUAGAUUGUUUUAUAAAGGUUCUGAAAUUUAGUCUCCUAAUUAAACCCUAAUCACCGUAUGUUAUAUAUAUACUCCCACAAACCUCAAAAUUCAUGCCGUGUAAAUUGACUAAUAUAAUAAACUCUUGCCCUCUCGCACCUCUGCCGUCAUCAAGGACAUCUCUUAAUUUCCUCCAUCUCCUGGUGCAUCUUUUGUUUCUCCUGUUGCAAUUCACUCGCUGGCUAGUUUAAAUAGAGCUGAGUUUGACCUUCCCCUCUUAUUUUCAUGUCGGUAAUGCUCAAAUUACUAGGAUAUGGAUUCUUAUCUACAUUAUGCCUUGUUUGACUAAAUAAACUAAUAAUAAUAAUAAGUAAAUAAAACCUUCUUGAUUUCGUUAGGUUGGAUGUAGCAGUAGCUUUUAGGCCAUUGAUUUCUUGCUAAUGACCUGCUUGUUUUAUUUUAAUUGAUCUCAUGAUUAAAAGGCACUAACUUGGUUUUAUAAAAGAAUUUUACUAUCUAUAGUGUUGUGGGCAUAUCAGUGAAAUGGAUUUUGGAGUAACCUCUACGAAGUACUAAUUUGCGAGAGCUAGCAUAGGUAGUAUUCCUAACUAAUGGAUUAAUAUACUGAUUAAGGCUUGUUAUUAUUUAUUUGUAGACGGGGAUUACUAGGUGGUUCUUCUGAAUUAAGAUUCCGUACCUUGAGAAAUCAGGCGCGUUAAAGGUUGGUAAAGGUACUUGGCUACGAGUGAGGAGACGCUUAGAAUAACCACCUAGUCAAGAGACAAUUUCUAUUUCAGUUUAAGUUUAAGUUGGUUUUUGUUAUUCAUUUUAUGGGAAUUGGUUGUAGUUUUUAUGGGGCACCUUUUAGACCACUUAGUUAAUUUUGACUUUAAUGAUUUUAAAUUGUUUUGUUGCUUUGCAUUUAUUUUCUAUGGAGAAUAAAUGUAGCAGUGACACUCCCAAGGUUUGGACGAUU